rnacentral:rRNA from 1 species
GAUGAACGCUGGCGGCGUGCCUAAUACAUGCAAGUCGAGCGAACGGACGAGAAGCUUGCUUCUCUGAUGUUAGCGGCGGACGGGUGAGUAACACGUGGAUAACCUACCUAUAAGACUGGGAUAACUUCGGGAAACCGGAGCUAAUACCGGAUAAUAUUUUGAACCGCAUGGUUCAAAAGUGAAAGACGGUCUUGCUGUCACUUAUAGAUGGAUCCGCGCUGCAUUAGCUAGUUGGUAAGGUAACGGCUUACCAAGGCAACGAUGCAUAGCCGACCUGAGAGGGUGAUCGGCCACACUGGAACUGAGACACGGUCCAGACUCCUACGGGAGGCAGCAGUAGGGAAUCUUGCACAAAGGGCGAAAGCCUGACGGAGCAACGCCGCGUGAGUGAUGAAGGUCUUCGGAUCGUAAAACGCUGUUAUUAGGGAAGAACAUAUGUGUAAGUAACUGUGCACAUCUUGACGGUACCUAAUCAGAAAGCAACGGCUAACUACGUG